rnacentral:rRNA from 1 species
ACCCGAUUAGCAGCUUCCGGGAAACCAAAGUUUUUCGUUUCCGGGGGAAGUAUGGUUGCAAAGCUGAAACUUAAAGGAAUUGACGGAAGGGCACCACCAGGAGUGGAGCCUGCGGCUUAAUUUGACUCAACACGGGAAAACUCACCCGGCCCGGACACCGUAAGGAUUGACAGACUGAGAGCUCUUUCUUAAUUCGGUGGGUGGUGGUGCAUGGCCGUUCUUAGUUGGUGGAGCGAUUUGUCUGGUUAAUUCCGAUAACGAACGAGACUCUGGCCUAUUAAAUAGACGAUAUAUUUAAAAGUAUAUCGCGCUUCUUAGAGGGACAAGCGGCGUCUAGCCGCAUGAAAUAGAGCAAUAACAGGUCUGUGAUGCCCUUAGAUGUCCGGGGCUGCACGCGCGCUACACUGAAAGAAUCAGUGUGCGUUACGCCUAGUUCGGAAGAACCGGGUAACCCAAGUAAAUUCUUUCGUGCUUGGGAUAGGGAAUUGCAAUUAUUUCCCUUAAACGAGGAAUUCCCAGUAAAUGCGGGUCA